AUCCGGCCAGGAGCCCCGCGCGCCCCACUGUCCUUGGGUAGCAAAGGCUAGGCAGCAACCGGAGGCAAAGGUUUUGAGUUCCCUCUUUACUGAAAACAGAGCAAAGUAUACAGGAUUUUUAUAGCAAGCUGGUCGAUCGAUGAAGUGCACCAUAAAACCCGAGAUGGAGUUGAUCUAGAGGGUUGGAUUUGACCA